UACGGGGGGGGUAAGCGUUGUUCGGAAUUACUGGGCGUAAAGGGCUCGUAGGCGGCCAACUAAGUCGGACGUGAAAUCCCACGGCUUAACCGUGGAACUGCUUGGUAUACUGGCGAUUCUUGAGCCACUUAGGGGCAACCGGAACAAACGGUGGAGCGGUGAAAUGCGUAGAUAUCGUUUGGAACGCCAAUGGUGAAAACAGGUUGCUGGGAGUG
rnacentral:rRNA from 1 species